rnacentral:rRNA from 1 species
AACGAACGCUGGCGGCAGGCCUAACACAUGCAAGUCGAGCGAGCAUUUCGGUGCUAGCGGCGGACGGGUGAGUAACGCGUGGGAACGUGCCCUUUUCUGCGGAAUAGUCCUGGGAAACUGGGGGUAAUACCGCAUACGCCCUUUUGGGGAAAGAUUUAUCGGAGAAGGAUCGGCCCGCGUUGGAUUAGGUAGUUGGUGGGGUAAUGGCCCACCAAGCCGACGAUCCAUAGCUGGUUUGAGAGGAUGAUCAGCCACACUGGGACUGAGACACGGCCCAGACUCCUACGGGAGGCAGCAGUGGGGAAUCUUAGACAAUGGGGGCAACCCUGAUCUAGCCAUGCCGCGUAAGUGAUGAAGGCCUUAGGGUUGUAAAGCUCUUUCAGCUGGGAAGAUAAUGACGGUACCAGCAGAAGAAGCCCCGGCUAACUCCGUG